CCAUUUUUUUCAUCCUUAUCCAAGGUUUGUUACUUCUUAAGAGUGACAACUCAGCAGAACCAUCAAAACAGCUAGCAAUGUAUUUCGUUUCUGACCGAAGCAAUAUCUUAACUUCAAAAGGGAUAAAAACCACAGAUAGUCUAAGGCAUGAUUUUUUACUAUGGUUAUACACAGAAUCUUUAUAGAUGUGAUAGUAAUGUACAUAGAAAGAUUGCUGUAUUACAGAAUACUUGGGUGUGGAAAUAUUAUUCUAUAUUUCAUGACUGUUAAAGUCAAAUUAUGCUUACCUAAUUUUACCUUUUCCACACAGUCAGUUUCAUUUUCUUGGUUUUAUUUUGGUGUAAUGUAUGUUUGUGGUAUCUUUCUAAACAUUUCACUGGCAGCUCUAGGUAUAAAAUAAUAGUCUAUAUAUAAUUAUUGAAGUGUUGAGCACUUCUGAAAAUAGACAAAAUUAAAUCAAAAGAAGGGACAUACAUGCUCUUUACUGGAGCUCUAACCUUUCAGUGUUUCAGAAAAGGAAGAAGCAGCUCAGAACAAUCUGCAUUGACUGAAUUCUGGACUAAUACUUCAUUUCCUAAGAUGACAUCUUGGUUUCAUAUUUUAUAGCCAGUGUUCAUCUUUCAUUCCUGGUGGUUCAUUUACAUGGAUUUUGUUCCUAAGAAUCAACAAUAACCCUCAGUACCCCUUGCUGGUUAUUCCCAAACUUGCAGAGACGGACAAGGGAUAGCUUGGUCUGAAAGCAAAAAGAAAGCACAUAGGAGAAAGUUAAAAGUCCUUUAUGAGACACAUGUGGACUUGGACUUCUGGAUCAUAAUGGAUGAUGGCAAAUCAAACCAUCUUUCUGGUGAUAAUCAAGAUCUCCAUUUGCCUGACCUGCAACAGUGCUCCUACCAUAAGCUUUAUAGUAUAUGCAUCUUGGACUCUACAAGCUUUAGGUGUUUUGGAUGUCACUAAAUGAAAAUAAAUUUCAGCC